GAUGAACGCUGGCGGCGCGCCUAACACAUGCAAGUCGAACGGCACCCACCUCCGGGUGGAAGCGAGUGGCGAACGGCUGAGUAACACGUGGAGAACCUGCCCCCUCCUCCGGGAUAGCCGCGGGAAACCGCGGGUAAUACCGGAUGACGCCCGGGAAGCGCAUGCUGCCCGGGCCAAAGCCCAGACGGGAGGGGAUGGCUCCGCGGCCCAUCAGGUAGACGGCGGGGUGACGGCCCACCGUGCCGACAACGGGUAGCCGGGUUGAGAGACCGACCGGCCAGAUUGGGACUGAGACACGGCCCAGACUCCUACGGGAGGCAGCAGUGGGGAAUCUUGCGCAAUGGGGGAAACCCUGACGCAGCGACGCCGCGUGCGGGACGAAGGCCUUCGGGUCGUAAACCGCUUUCAGCAGGGACGAGACAAGACGGUACCUGCAGA
rnacentral:rRNA from 1 species